AGAGAUAACACAUCGCUAGGAAAAAAUCAGCAUGGCUACCUGUCAAUGUACUUUGAAUACCCCAAAUAUAGGCUACGUGCAGUAUAAAUGAUCGCCAAUUAUGAAUGAAAAUAAUUAAACUGGAUAAAUUGCUGUGGGACAGUGUUAUGUCAUAACCUAAGAAAAAUAAUUUUCUUAAUUAAAUCCAAAAAUAGAGAUAAAUUCCAGACGUUCCCUUUAUCAAAUUAUUAUAACUAAUACUAAUCAGCAUGCAGAUCUAUAUUUUUAAUUUCAAUCCAAGAACAUUAUACGUACUCACGAGAAGAAGAAUUCAUUACACUAUUCAAUCAAUGGAGAUAUAUAUUUCAUUUUUUUACGGCUAACGAUUAGAAGAUUUGGAUUGAUUAUGUCAUCCGAACAAGAGUUUUAUUCUAUAAUAUAUGAUAAAUAGAAUGUAGGUGCACUAACAAAGAAUAAUCAAGAGAAGAAUUUGUCAAAAGGAUAGGUAAAUAAUUUGACUCGAAAUGCCUACUCAUUAUUAUCAAGAUUGUGAUAAGAAGAAUACAACAAUACUGCAACUAUGAAAGAUUGUUUAAUGCASUUUUCUUCAUCAUACUUGCACUGCGAGAAAACCAUAUGUAGUAAUAUUUUAUCAAAAGAAUACCAGAACACAUGUAUCUCUUAGUUAUCACUAAAUAAGAAAACAAGUGGCAAAUACAUUAUAUUAAGAAAUUCUAUUCAUGUCAAAAUCUUUUAUCAAGUUUUGUACACGGUAAUAGAAGAUAUUAUUUUUUUAUUAGCUGACAAGAAAAAUUGAUGUAUUUGUUAAUAAAUAUCUUAUUUGCAAGGAA